GUUUUUUUUGUUUUUUUGUUUGUUUGUUUGUUUGUUUGUUUGUUUGCUUGUUUAAAGAUCACCAGUACCUGUUUGAGUUUUUUGUUUGUUUGUUUGUUUGUUUGUUUGUUUGUUUGUUUGUUUAAAGAUCACCUGUACCUGUUUGAGUUUUUGUUUUUUUGUUGUUUGUUUGUUUGUUUAAAGAUCACCUGUACCUGUUUGAGUGUUUGUUUGUUUUUUUGUUUGUUUGUUUGUUUGUUUGUUUGCUUGUUUAAAGAUCACCAGUACCUGUUUGAGUUUUUUGUUUGUUUGAUUGUUUGUUUGUUUAAAGAUCACCUGUACCUGUUUGAGUUUUUGUUGUUUGUUUGUUUGUUUAAAGAUCACCUGUACCUGUUUGAGUGUUUGUUUGUUUGUUUGUUUGUUUGUUUGUUUGUUUGUUUAAAGAUCACUUGUACUUGUUUGAGUUUUUUGUUUGUUUGUUUGUUUGUUUGUUUGUUUGUUUGUUUAAAGAUCACCAGUACCUGUUUGAGUUUUUUUGUUUGUUUGUUUUUUUGUUUGUUUGUUUGUUUGUUUGUUUAAAGAUCACUUGUACCUGUUUGAGUUUUUUGUUUGUUUGUUUGUUUGUUUGUUUGUUUGUUUGUUUGUUUAAAGAUCACCAGUACCCGUUUGAGUUUUUGUUUGUUUGUUUAUUUGUUUGUUUAAAGAUCACCAAUACCCGUUUGAGUUUUUUGUUUGUUUGUUUGUUUAAAGAUCAC
ensembl:lncRNA